CUUUGUUUGUAGUGUUAGAUGCCAACCCCCUUUUGACACAAUCAGUAACAAACUAUCAAAUUUUCCGUAUUUUUGAAAAGUUUUCAGUAAUCAUUCAUAAACGUGCAUUUACCAAUAAAAAUUACUGACGAGUGGUUGCAAAGUGAUGUACACUAAAAUUUGUCAUUUAACAUGUUGUCUGUAGUAUGUAUUCCGUUCAUUGAUUGUUCAGAUGUUCUCGACUCAAACAUUUUUGUUUUGUCAAGGAGAAGUAGAGAAAGGGGGAAAGCUACUUAAUAAAAUGCAAGUUUGCCUCUUCGGAAGUCAGUUAGUUACCCAACAAUAGGUUGAUAACUCCCGAGAAACCGGAAGCAUUACAUUUGGCGUUUCCUAAAUACUGGACCAGGACGGAAAAGUAAUGAUAAAAAUCCGCGUUUUACAAAAUUGAACGUCGAUGAUUGGGAAUCCGUAACUAUUCGACUUUGACCGUAAUAGCGUAGUUUUUAUCGCAAAAUCGGAAAAACUACGGAAAAAUCGUAAUGGUUGGCAUCUAUGAACUGUGUACAUUAUUAAAACCGUUAUUUUUCUCGUUUGCAUUAAAUUGUUAAACAUCUGUCAUUUCGGGGGUAUCUUUCGUCCCUCUUUUAUAGCUGAUUAUGCGGGGGCUUUUAUGAUUAUUGAAGGCAUUAUGAUGACCUAUAGCUGUCAAUUUCUGUGUCAAUUAGUUUCUUGGCAAUCAUAAUACAUAUAUAUAUACAUAUAUAUAGCGAC
rnacentral:lncRNA from 1 species